rnacentral:lncRNA from 10 species
AAAAGAUAGACCACUGAACAGACAAUUAGAAUCUGCUGUGAUAGGUGCUGUGCUAGAGACAGACACAGGGGCUGGGAGAUUAGGGUCCUUGGAGGAAGUGGCAUCUCAGCUGACUGUGAAGACUCGCAGAAGUUAGCAAGUUAAUGGGGAACGGGAGAUCAUGGCAAACAAGGAUGUGCAAACAAGGAGCACAGCUCAGGGGACUCAAUAUGGAGCAGUAGGGCCAAGCAUGGCAUUGCUUGGUAAGUCCAGUCCCAUUCAGGAAGCCUAUUGAGCUCUAAACCAGUGUCUCCCUCUGUGCUUGGGAGUAAGAGCAGCAUCAGACCAUUGCAAACCUACUGGAUUGGCUGAUACUCAUUGACUGGAUGGAGAUUUCAGAGGCAAACCUAGGCUUCUCCAGAGGAAAUUGCAGCAUCCAAGAACAUAUUGGCGACGUGAAGUGAGGAUUUGCUGUACAGUGAAAUAAUGAUGAAGUGUCGCUGGAGGCGAAGCCUGGGAGUGUGUGCUCUGAGAUGGUCCUGCCCAGCUUUGGUUAAGACCAUGCCCCGGGCCAUGCAGGCUGGCAUUCCAUAAACUUGCCUGGCUCCUAGAAUAACCCAGAGGCAUUUGCUGUAAUACAUAAUACGUAGGUUCCUAGGCUCCACUUCAGAGCUCCUGAGUCAGAAAAACCCCAAAAGCACCCGGGACAUUUAUUUGAAUAAAGCACUUGUCUAAGGCACUUACCCAAGGACCAUUCAUCCAAAGGUGCUCAGCACAAAUAUAUUGAAUAAACUAGACCAUUCAUAUGGAAGGUCACUUUUGAAUUUGUUGUGGAAAGUGCUUUGGACUAAGACCUGGCUUCCCCUUCUGUUCUGCCCUAAUCUGCUGAGCAGCCUCUGGCAAGUCACUUCCUCUCUUUGGACCUCAGUUUUCCCACUGGUAAAAUGAGAAUGGCUGAGGUGACCCUUUCUGGCUCUCACGCCUUUGAAUAGCAUGAAUAUUUAUUGAGUGCACCUUUAUAAGAAACAUCCAAACACAGGGCUGCAGGCUUUGAUUUGGAUCUCCCAGCACUAAUGUUUGAGGCAAAACACCUUAAUUUGCUGUGAAACAGUGAAUCUUUGUGGACAGGAGUCCUUUUUAUCUAACGAUUGAUAAAGCAGGCAUCUCCUCCUUCUGGGUAAACACUGAAGACAUUACCUAACCACUUCAUCCUGUGUGAUCCCAAGAUGCAAUUGUUCCCCUCCACAUGGGAAAGGCCAAAGGGACAGACAAGGCAAGUAAUAAACAUGCCUUAACUUGAAGAGUCCUUCAGUUUCCCAACUCCUUCCACACCUGUGGCCUCAUCUGACUUCAACACACAACUGUAAGGUGGGCAAGUCAGGAGCGUUACCCUCAUCUGGUCAAGGAGGCGCCCCAGCUCUUUCAAGUCAAGCUGGAGCUGCAUUCUCAACUUCUCCAAUGUGGGUGUGUGUUCCCCUGAAGAAGUUGUUUGUGAAUGAGAGAAGGGAGCUUGUUGGUUCACCCUCAGCACCUAGAACCAUGCCUGGCAUUCAGCACUAGUAAUUACCUGCUGAAUGAAUGAAUGAGUCUGGUCCUCAUUCCCUGAUUAUGACCUCUCAGGAAGUUUAAAGAGGUGCAAGGUGGUCUGUGGGUGUUUAGAGAAUCACUUUUAUUGCCACAGUCAUUUUUAUUGUUCUCAUGUCUACCGUUAAACUCUACAUUUUAGGAUGCUGUUGAAAGGCUGUUGAGAACAGAAUUUCCUAGUGUGAAAGUUAUUAGAGAAAUAAGAUCAAAUGGCUGCUAUUCACCCUUGAGAAAUUUCUAUCUCUGUAUGGUAGGUGGGAAAAGAGGGGGAAAACAUUGUCUCUCUAGAGGCCCUGAUCUAAGGCAGCCACUUCUGAUAAGGCUCACCUGAAAGAGGUGGCAUCAUCAUAAAACUAUCAGGUGGAUCGUCAGAAAAGAUGACAGCUGGGAGACCCUAGUAUCACAAACUAGCUGUGAUGCCUUCAGCAAAGUCCUUCACCUUGAAUUCUACCUCUCGGGUGGGACAACUCUGAGAUGUGUUCUCUGCAGUAAUCUCACUCAGAAAAUGAGUUCUUCCCUGGGAUGUGAUGAAGGGCUUGUGAGGUGGCAGCUGGAAGGCCCUUUCAAGAAAGGAACAACUGCAUUACCAACACUGAGCAAUGGCAUCAGGAUCUCUUAUAUCAGAAGCUACAAACUGGGACCAGCACAUGAGCUUGUGUAGCCUGCAGUGUUUUAAAAUUUUUCAAUUUGCUACCAAGACAUUUGAAAAUCUAGGGAUUUCUAAUACAAUUUAGAUUUAUAGUUUCUCUCGAAUAAUGGGUCCACAUUCUUGCAUGGCCAACAAUUGGUUGAAGCCAAGUAGCUUCUUCAGCUUCUCACUGACACAGAGGCUAUCACCUUUCUCCCAGUAGAGAAACAGUUUUCUGCACCCAUGGCAGGCACUGUUGGUGCCUAGCCCUCCUCCCCUGGCACCUCCAAUCUCCAUGCACACCAGCCAGGUGGCUUCUGACUGCAAUUCCCUCUACUUCUUUCCCUGGGAGGUUUCUUUGGACAGCUGAGUAUUCUCAGCCUAACCGCAGGAUGGACCAGAAACGUCAAGGAGCUGCCCCUGGGAGCAAGCCUCAAGAUGUGAUGGAUGGGAGGUGGUGAAGAAGUACCUGGACUCUGAGGCACACUCUACAUUGUCCCCUGGAGGUCCUGAGCAGGGUUGAACCCUGAAUGCCUCCAGCAAGAGCCUACUCAUGAACAUGCUGUGUUGGCUUCCCUUUCCUCCUGGUUUCCUGGAAUCGCCUACCAAAUAAGCAACUUGCACUUAAAUAGUUGCCUCAGGGUUUGCUUCUAGGGACCCCAACCUAAGACAGUAAGCUGGACUCCUUUCAAAAAGGAAAAUGAAAAAAAGACCUUGCAGCUGACCUUGCCCUGCCUAGCAUUUUCUAUUCUAGUGCCCUAUGAGAUGACAUUUCAGCUGAUACUUGAGACGACAGGUGACAAACCACUCUUUCCAGUGCAGAGGUGGCCUUGGGCAUCACUGAAUUGCAUGUGGCUUGUCUUCAGGGUUCUUGUACCUUGAAAUUAUCUCUCUUAAUUCCCAGGUUCUCAGAAGGCAGUCACAUCUGGACAGCAUUCCUUGACUACGCAUCAAUAUUCCAUCAUGUCAUUGCCGGCUGUGAGGAGGAAAGUGACCUCCUAAACAAAUCCGUGCACGUGUAAAUGACAGCUGCUGGUUUGAAUCUGUUUCUUCUCCCACCACUUCCUCUUCUGAUCAAAGAGCCCACCUUUUCAUUUGGAGGAACCAUUUCUCAACUGGUCUCAUUCUGUGAGGUUUAGAGGUAGGAAUUGAACUUAGCUCUGUCUAGAGCCAAAUCUACUCCAAAAGUGUUCUUAACCACUACUGUGGGGUGGCUGACAGUACAGGCUCUGGAGUGACAUCUGCCACAGUUCAAAUCUCAGCCAUACCUCAUACUAGCUAGGAGGCUGGGGUAAAUGCCGCUCACCUUUCUAGCCUUAAUUCCUUUAUCUCUCUCAUGAGCUUAUUGUGAGAAUUUAAAAGAUAUAAUAACCAGAAAGCACUUAGUAUAGUUCUUGGCUCAUUAAAGUGCUCAACAAAUAAUAACUAUUAAUGUUUAAAUUAUUAAGACUCUAGUUGGCUGAAGAAAAGUGAUAGGAAAGCUAGAGGCUCUGGUCUUUACUCUGGGAGCUUCUAGAGAACUCAGACUUUGGUUAUUUCUCUCCUGUCCCUGAGUCCUACCCACAUUGUAAGAGUGAGUGAGUGAGUGAUGAUGGUGUGUUUGUAGAAUUCACAAACCCAUUGAAUAUUCUUCCUGAAGCUUAGCUAAGUGAGCUCCCUGCCAGGAACUUAUGUGUGGACAGCCACGAAUCGUGGCAUCAAAUAAUAUUUAAUUUCACUUCUUCCUAAAUAUUACUGAAUUCCAUUCCCAGUAACUUUCCCUUUUGAAGUUCUCUUUUUGAGGCAGUUCAAGUGGAAAAAGAAAUAACCUAGAAGCAAGUAAAACAACCUUAUUCAAAAACAACAAAAAUCCUUCAGAUUGCAACUUUUUUGAGGGCAUGGACAACAUCUUCUCCUUCUUUGCCUCAAAACAUCUACCUCGUUUAAAAUAAUCCAUUAUAUGAAAAAGAUACUUGCACAUGCAUGUCUAUAGCAGCAAAAUUUGCAAUUGCAAAAACGUGGAACCAACCCAAAUGCCCAUCAAUCAAUGAGAAAGAAACUGUGAUAUAUAUAUAUAUAUAUGAAUGAAUGAUGGAAUACUACUCAGCCAUAAAAAGAAAUGAAUUAAUGGCAUUCACAGUGACCUGAAUGAGACUGGAGACUAUUAUUCUAAGUGAAGUAACUCAGGAAUGGAAAACCAAACAUCAUAUGUUCUCACUAAUAAGUGGGAGAUAAGCCAUGAGGAUGCAAAGGCAUAAGAGUGACACAAUGGACUUUGGGCACUCAGGGAGAAAGGGUGGGAAGGGGAUGAGGGAUAAAAGACUACAAAUAAGGUGCAGUAUAUACUGCUCGGGGGAUAGGUGCACCAAAAUCUCACAAAUCCCCACUAAACAACUUACUCAUGUAACCAAACACCACCUGUUCCCCAAUAACCUAUGGAAAUAAAAAAAUUUAAAAAAACAAAAAACAGAAACAAAAAUCCAUCUACUUCCUUGAUCUCUUGCAUAGAACAGGCACCCGUUUAAUUGGAAAUGAGCAAACUUGUUGCUGAUGUUCCUCAGAUGAUUUGGUUUGACUCCAAGAGACUAUUCACAUCCACCAUCCAUUCAUCCAUCUAUCCACCAUUCAUCUUAUCCAUUUCUUCAUUCACCCACCAUUCAUCCCUCUGUUCACCAUCCAGCCAGCCAUCUAUCACCCAUUCAUCUAUCCCUCUACCAUCCAUUCCUUCCUUCAUUCACCCAGUAAAAGUUCAAUUGUGGGAAAACCUAUAGUUUUUAAAUCCUUUUAUUUUAUGACUGAUAUUAAUUGCUAUAUCCAAAAUGUCAAGAGAGAAUCAGCACAGAAAGUGAAUGUUAGAAAUGGAAUCAGAUGCAGAUGACUGGUCUUGGUAUCUGCCAUUUCCUCCCACCCAGAUGCCCUUUUGUUCUUAGAAGCCAAAGACAGUCAUCUUAGAAACUUUCGGGCAACAAAAUUCGUGCAGCCUUUGGAACUAAGAAUUACUAGUCUCUACUUUCUAAUGGUUUAGUAGUCAAUGGAUAUAUAUAAUUUAAGCCAUUUAAUUUGCUUUCAC